AGCCUGCAGUCGAGGAUCUUCGGCAAUGGGCGCAAGCCUGACCCAGCGACGCCGCGUGCGGGAGGAAGGCCUUUGGGUUGUAACCCGCUGUCAGGGGGGAUGAAAUCACAGUGGGUACUCCCAUUGUGUUGACAGAGCCCCAGAGGAAGCGCGGGCUAAGUUCGUGCCAGCAGCCGCGGUAAUAGGAGGUGCCCAAACUUUAUUCGGAUUCACUGGGCUUACAGGGUGCGUAGGCGGCGGAGAAAUUAGGGUGUAAAAUCCCUUGGCUCAACCAGGGCACUGCGCUGUAAACUUCUUCGCUGGAUUGAGUCAGGGGGGGGAGAAACUUCCGGUGGAGCGGUGAAAUGUGUGGAUAUCGGAAGGAACACCGGUGGCGAAAGCGGCGUACUGGGGCUCAACUGACGUUGAGGCACGAAAGCCAGGGUAGCAAACGGGAUUAGAUCCCCCGGUAGUCCCGCCUGUAAACGAUGAGCACUGGACGGGAGGGGCUUCGGCCUC
rnacentral:rRNA from 1 species